rnacentral:rRNA from 1 species
UACGAAGGGGGCUAGCGUUGUUCGGAAUUACUGGGCGUAAAGGGCGCGUAGGCGGUACUUCAAGUCAGGCGUGAAAGCCCCGGGCUCAACCUGGGAAUUGCGAUGGAGACUGCAAGGCUUGAAUCUGGCAGAGGGGGGUAGAAUUCCACGUGUAGCAGUGAAAUGCGUAGAGAUGUGGAGGAACACCGAUGGCGAAGGCAGCCCCCUGGGUCAAGAUUGACGCUCAUGCACGAAAGCGUGGGGAGCAAACAGG